GCCUAUGAUGACAUUUUUGAAUGAGACACUGAAAUGCAAGUGGUUUAACUUGCUUAAAAUGUCGAAAUUUUAUGAACUAGGACGGUCUGAGGC